UCCCUACGGGAGGCUGCAGUGAGGAAUAUUGCGCAAUGGUCGCAAGACUGACGCAGCAACGCCGCGUGAGGGAUGAAGUACUUCGGUAUGUAAACCUCUGUUAGAAGGAAAGAACGGGUGGAUGUCGAACAGGCAUUCAUCGUGACGGUACCUUCAGAGAAAGCCCCGGCUAACUCCGUGCCAGCAGCCGCGGUAACACGGGGGGGGCAAGCGUUGUCCGGAAUUAUUGGGCGUAAAGGGCGCGUAGGUGGGAUAGCAAGUCUGAGGUGCAAUCUUACGGCUUAACUGUAAGCUUGCCUUGGAUACUACUAUUCUUGAGUUCGGAAGAGGGUAGUGGAAUUCCUGGUGUAGCGGUGAAAUGCGUAGAUAUCAGGAAGAACACCGGUGGCGAAGGCGGCUACCUGGUCCGAUACUGACACUGAGGCGCGAAAGUGCGGGGAGCAAACAGGAUUAGAUACCCCGGUAGUC
rnacentral:rRNA from 1 species